UACUUGACUAGCUGAGAGGAGGUGCAUGGCCGUCGUCAGUUCGUACUGUGAAGCAUCCUGUUAAGUCAGGCAACGAGCGAGACCCACGCCAACAGUUGCCAGCUCGUCCUCCCGGGGAUGGUGGGGACACUGUUGGGACCGCCUCUGCUAAAGAGGAGGAAGGAAUGGGCAACGGUAGGUCAGCAUGCCCCGAAUUAUCUGGGCUACACGCGGGCUACGAUGGGUGGGACAAUGGGUAUCGACACCGAAAGGUGAAGGCAAUCUCCUAAACCCAUCCGUAGUUCGGAUUGUGGGCUGCAACUCGCCCACAUGAAGCUGGAAUCUGUAGUAAUCGUGUCUCAAAAUGGCACGGUGAAUAUGUCUCUGCUCCUU
rnacentral:rRNA from 1 species